GUUCCGGUGGCCUAGUGGUUAAAGUGUCCGCCUCAGAUGUGGGAGGUCAUGGGUUAGAUCCCCAGCCAAGUCA